rnacentral:rRNA from 1 species
UUACGGGUGGCUGCAGUGGGGAAUAUUGGACAAUGGGCGAAAGCCUGAUCCAGCCAUGCCGCGUGUGUGAAGAAGGCCUUCGGGUUGUAAAGCACUUUCAGUGGGGAAGAAAGCCUUGGGGCUAAUACCCUCGAGGAAGGACAUCACCCACAGAAGAAGCACCGGCUAACUCCGUGCCAGCAGCCGCGGUAAUACGGAGGGUGCGAGCGUUAAUCGGAAUUACUGGGCGUAAAGCGCGCGUAGGCGGUCUGAUAAGCCGGUUGUGAAAGCCCCGGGCUCAACCUGGGAACGGCAUCCGGAACUGUCAGGCUAGAGUGCAGGAGAGGAAGGUAGAAUUCCCGGUGUAGCGGUGAAAUGCGUAGAGAUCGGGAGGAAUACCAGUGGCGAAGGCGGCCUUCUGGACUGACACUGACGCUGAGGUGCGAAAGCGUGGGUAGCAAACAGGAUUAGAUACCCAGUAGUC